AUAUCAAUAAGCGGAGGAAAAGAAACCAACAGGGAUUACCUCAGUAACGGCGAGUGAAGCGGUAAAAGCUCAAAUUUGAAAUCUGGCUCUUUUAGAGUCCGAAUUGUAAUUUGUAGAAGAUGCUUCGGGUGUGGUUCCGGUCUAAGUUCCUUGGAACAGGACGUCAUAGAGGGUGAGAAUCCCGUAUGUGACUGGAUACCUAUGCUCAUGUGAAGCUCUUUCGACGAGUCGAGUUGUUUGGGAAUGCAGCUCAAAAUGGGAGGUAUAUUUCUUCUAAAGCUAAAUAUUGGCCAGAGACCGAUAGCGCACAAGUAGAGUGAUCGAAAGAUGAAAAGCACUUUGGAAAGAGAGUUAAACAGUACGUGAAAUUGUUGAAAGGGAAGCGCUUGCAAUCAGACUUGCACUUGGUGUUCAUCAGGGUCUCGUACCCUGUGUACUUCAUCAAGUUCAGGCCAGCAUCAGUUUGAGUGGUUAGAUAAAGGCUUAGAGAAUGUGGCCCUCUUCGGGGGGUGUUAUAGCUCUAGGUGCAAUGUAGCCUACUUGGACUGAGGACCGCGCUUCGGCUAGGAUGCUGGCGUAAUGGUUGUAAGCGAC
rnacentral:rRNA from 1 species